AGUAUAGGGAAUAGUCUAUAGAGAUGGUAUAAGGAGUUUGAGAGAAAUAUUCAGGAACAUUUGAAGGUAAACAUUCUUCAUUAAUGCUACUCUGUUUCCCUGGGUCUCCAAAACAUUUUUUUUUUUUUUUAGAAAACUUGAUCCUGUCUCACGUUUAGAUACUUGAUGCUACAGGAAUGUGAGAAGAAAAAUGGGGAGACGUUUUUUCAUCUUGUAAGGUCAAAUAGUUCCUGACCUUGAGGAAGUAACUCUCUCCAGCUUCUCUUCUAUUUUUCAUUCUUAGAAAUCAACCCUAAUUCUUCUCAACUUGGCAAAAAUAAAUUUUCCAGAGACUGUGAAGUCCAGGGGAUAGCUAAUUCUUUUGAUCUCCUCGCAAACGUUACUGCCUAUGGAACUGCCGGAAACAAAGAAGAAACGGCUGUGGUGCUAACUCUGCGUCUUCAGGGUGUUCAAUCAGCAGCAUACGGUGCAGCUCAGAAACAAAGCACAGAGCGGAAACGGAGGGUAGAGACACAGUUUAUGGGAAAGAGCUUGCAAAUGGAUCAACUCUCCCUUAUUCAACUUAUGUUCCAGUCCUCUUGAUCAAGCACCCUAGACUCCAGUCUCACACACGCUCUCCUGACUUAUGCUGGUCCA